GCCGAGGUGGUGAAAUUGGUAGACACAAGGGACUUAAAAUCCCUCGGACAAUAUACGUCCGUGCCGGUUCGAUUCCGGCCCUCGGUA
rnacentral:tRNA from 1 species